rnacentral:rRNA from 1 species
GAUGAACGCUAGCGGCAGGCUUAACACAUGCAAGUCGAGGGGCAGCGCGAUGUAGCAAUACAUUGGCGGCGACCGGCGCACGGGUGCGUAACACGUAUGGAACUUACCCUUUACUGGGAGAUAGCCCGGAGAAAUCCGGAUUAAUAUCCCAUAAUAAACGAAGUGGCAUCACUUUGUUUUGAAAGCUCCGGCGGUAAAGGAUGGCCAUGCGCACGAUUAGCUAGUAGGUGAGGUAACGGCUCACCUAGGCUACGAUCGUUAGGGGGCCUGAGAGGGUUAUCCCCCACACUGGUACUGAGACACGGACCAGACUCCUACGGGAGGCAGCAGUGGGGAAUAUUGCGCAAUGGAGGCAACUCUGACGCAGCCAUGCCGCGUGCAGGAAGAAGGCGCUACGCGUUGUAAACUGCUUUUAACCGGGAAGAAACCCUCCGACGUGUCGGAGGUUGACGGUACCGGAGGAAUAAGCACCGGCUAACUUCGUGCCAGCAGCCGCGGUAAAGUCAGUG